GCCCAAGUAGUCUAAUGGUCAAGAUAGUGCAACCGUCACUUUCCUCCAACCUAAAUUUGAUAAACGCAACAGCUGCGCUGACCCAUGUUCGAAUUCUGGCCUGGGCA